AGUCGACGAACUCUGGUAUUGAUUGGUGCUUGCAUCAUGAUUUACAUUUGAGUGAGUGGCGAACUGGUGAGUAACACGUGGGAAACCUGCCCAGAAGCGGGGGAUAACACCUGGAAACAGAUGCUAAUACCGCAUAACAACUUGGACCGCAUGGUCCGAGUUUGAAAGAUGGCUUCGGCUAUCACUUUUGGAUGGUCCCGCGGCGUAUUAGCUAGAUGGUGAGGUAACGGCUCACCAUGGCAAUGAUACGUAGCCGACCUGAGAGGGUAAUCGGCCACAUUGGGACUGAGACACGGCCCAAACUCCUACGGGAGGCAGCAGUAGGGAAUCUUCCACAAUGGACGAAAGUCUGAUGGAGCAACGCCGCGUGAGUGAAGAAGGGUUUCGGCUCGUAAAACUCUGUUGUUAAAGAAGAACAUAUCUGAGAGUAACUGUUCAGGUAUUGACGGUAUUUAACCAGAAAGCCACGGCUAACUACGUGCCAGCAGCCGCGGUAAUACGUAGGUGGCAAGCGUUGUCCGGAUUUAUUGGGCGUAAAGCGAGCGCAGGCGGUUUUUUAAGUCUGAUGUGAAAGCCUUCGGCUCAACCGAAGAAGUGCAUCGGAAACUGGGAAACUUGAGUGCAGAAGAGGACAGUGGAACUCCAUGUGUAGCGGUGAAAUGCGUAGAUAUAUGGAAGAACACCAGUGGCGAAGGCGGCUGUCUGGUCUGUAACUGACGCUGAGGCUCGAAAGUAUGGGUAGCAAACAGGAUUAGAUACCCUGGUAGUCCAUACCGUAAACGAUGAAUGCUAAGUGUUGGAGGGUUUCCGCCCUUCAGUGCUGCAGCUAACGCAUUAAGCAUUCCGCCUGGGGAGUACGGCCGCAAGGCUGAAACUCAAAGGAAUUGACGGGGGCCCGCACAAGCGGUGGAGCAUGUGGUUUAAUUCGAAGCUACGCGAAGAACCUUACCAGGUCUUGACAUACUAUGCAAAUCUAAGAGAUUAGACGUUCCCUUCGGGGACAUGGAUACAGGUGGUGCAUGGUUGUCGUCAGCUCGUGUCGUGAGAUGUUGGGUUAAGUCCCGCAACGAGCGCAACCCUUAUUAUCAGUUGCCAGCAUUAAGUUGGGCACUCUGGUGAGACUGCCGGUGACAAACCGGAGGAAGGUGGGGAUGACGUCAAAUCAUCAUGCCCCUUAUGACCUGGGCUACACACGUGCUACAAUGGAUGGUACAACGAGUUGCGAACUCGCGAGAGUAAGCUAAUCUCUUAAAGCCAUUCUCAGUUCGGAUUGUAGGCUGCAACUCGCCUACAUGAAGUCGGAAUCGCUAGUAAUCGCGGAUCAGCAUGCCGCGGUGAAUACGUUCCCGGGCCUUGUACACACCGCCCGUCACACCAUGAGAGUUUGUAACACCCAAAGUCGGUGG
rnacentral:rRNA from 1 species